rnacentral:rRNA from 1 species
UGGGGAAUAUUGGACAAUGGGCGCAAGCCUGAUCCAGCAAUGCCGCGUGUGUGAAGAAGGCCUUCGGGUUGUAAAGCACUUUUGUUUGGGAAGAAAUCCGGUUGGUUAAUACCCGAUCGGGAUGACGGUACCAAAAGAAUAAGCACCGGCUAACUUCGUGCC